AUACAGAGGGUGCAAGCGUUAAUCGGAAUUACUGGGCGUAAAGCGCACGUAGGUGGUUCAUUAAGUCAGAUGUGAAAGCCCCGGGCUCAACCUGGGAACUGCAUUUGAAACUGGUGAGCUAGAGUAUGGUAGAGGUAAGUGGAAUUCCAGGUGUAGCGGUUGAAUGCGUAGAUAUCUGGAGGAACAUCAGUGGCGAAGGCGACUUACUGGACCAAUACUGACACUGAGGUGCGAAAGCGUGGGGAGCAAACAGGAUUAGAAACCCGGGUAGUCC
rnacentral:rRNA from 1 species